rnacentral:piRNA from 2 species
UCCCUCAACGUGUGCACCUGCCCAAAG